GAGGCCUCCCCGUUCGCCUCCCAGAGGCCGCCACUUUCUUCAGGGCUAUCAGAUGAAGGCAGCAACGAAAACACCACCACAAGACCAACUUCAGGCUGGAGCUGAUGAUGCCACACAGAAAAUAGACUCUACUUAGAAAUGAAACUCAACUAAAGGUAAAAGUUGUCAGGAACAUCUCCAAGAAAGCCAGAGUCAGCCUCUAAACUUUGCAUCAAGAACGCAAUGGCUUCCCUGAGGGCCCAGGGACGCGUGGCAGCUGUGAGGCAGCCCCUUCUCUGCUGUCGAGGAACUGGACACUUCUCCUGUCCCUUCCCACAAGGGGCUUCCUGGAGCUCCUGCAACCCCAGGCAUUAGUUCCGGUGCAGUUCUAGGAUCAGAUCAAUUCACUCGACAACAAGAGAAACAAAUGGAGAUUCCUACACAAAGACUUUCAAGCACAAAGAAAUCCUGCUGCCUGUAAAGCGGAGCUGCCUCAGCCCUUGAUGAACGACAGAAAAUCUCACAUUCCAGGAAUUCAGAUGAAGUGAAGUGCUCUCAUGGGGACCAGGCAUGGUUAUGCCAGUCCACUGCCCUGCAAGCCUCAAGGGAAGCCAACUGCCCUUCAGCAAGUCACACCUGCCUUGGUGGAGGCCUUGAUUGGAAGUGCCACACGCUACAUGUCCAGUCCUGAGCGGGAGAAUCGGUGUAGGGACGUUCUGGGGAUGCCAGCUGUGGCCAGAUCAGGUCCAACUACAGAAGAAUAAUGAAGACUCCACCUGAGGGCUGGAAAAACAAAACCUCAAGUGUGAGGCAGCCAACCUGUUACCUCGAGGGACUG
rnacentral:lncRNA from 10 species